rnacentral:rRNA from 1 species
CACGUAGGGGGCGAGCGUUGUCCGGAUUUAUUGGGCGUAAAGAGCUCGUAGGCGGUUCGGCAAGUCGGGUGUGAAAUUUCGAGGCUCAACCUCGAAACGCCACUCGAUACUGCUGUGACUGGAGUCCGGUAGAGGAGUGCGGAAUUCCUGGUGUAGCGGUGAAAUGCGCAGAUAUCAGGAGGAACACCGGUGGCGAAGGCGGGUCUCGUGGGCCGAUACUGACGCUGAGGAGCGAAAGCGUGGGGAGCGAACAGGAAUUAGAUACCCGUGGUAAGCUC